rnacentral:lncRNA from 13 species
AGAACACUUCAAAAUGAGAAGAUCCUGCCAUGGAAAAGACGACUGGGCGGACAUAAAGUGGAAAGGAGGGGAAAUAUCUCCCAGCAUGCAGCAGGACACCUUCAGCUGCUUGGUCUUUGUAAUGCAGAUGGCCAAGGAAGUUGCAUAGAACUUCCCCAACAUCCCUUCUCAAAUUCAUAUGGAACCUUCAAAAACAUAUGGAGCAACUGCAAAAAGAAAUGGCUGAGGAUAUACUAAAAAUGUCUGAGUUCAACAAAGCCAACAACUGCCUCAUGGGUGCCACUGAUAAAGAACCUGGAUGUGGCCCAAAGACUGACUGGAUUGAAUGUUUUGCAUGCCAACGGUGGUUCCAUGUGCUGUGCCUAGGAAUGAAGACAAAAGAGUUCAACAGAGUAAACAACACAAACUGUCAGUGCAGUCUUUGUUGUAAAUGUAUGCUAUACCCCAUCCACACUGAAGAGGCUCUGACAUGUACAUCAACCAGGGAUAAAGAGAAAGUUAACACUGUGAAAUGCUCCAUACUUAAUUAAAGUUGUGUCUGUUGACAUGUUGGAAAAGAUUAAAGAUCUACAAUUUUUGUUUAAUUUGUCAAUAUUCCAUUUUUAUUCAUUGAUUUACUGGCGUUACAUGUUCAGUAUAUGUAUUGACCAGCAAACCCACUGCAGCCUACCUCACUAGCUCACUCUCUGCUGUUGGUGGACAUAAAAGACAACUAUAGGCGAAUAUCCAACCUGAAACUGGUUUUUACCUCGGUCAGGAACCGUUGGUCAGCCUGCAAUAGUGAUUUUGGAUUUGUAAAAAAUACAUGUAGAGGCCAAUAAAUCAUCUGAACCAAUUAUGCUAAUCUGUUAUGUUAACUAUCCAAGCGUUGUAGUACACCCAGAAAUUAAGAGGCAAUUAAAUCCAGCUGUAAUGCGCCCGCGGGCUAGCAAUGUCAGUCAAGCCAGCUGAACACGAGUUGCCGGAGCUCGUUCAGAGGUAACUUAACAUUUAAAACUAGGUUAAUUGUUUUAAUUCAUUUAUGAGCUGCAAAUGCAAUGCUAAUUUAUUUCUUAAUUGCCAUUUUGCGUCCUCGGUCAACGAAGGUCCUCUUGUCGGCCAUGCUGCAAAUGUGAUCUCGCGUUAUGUCAUUGUCAAUACAGUAAAUCUACACCACGAUAUGAAAUGUUGAUUUGAUGAUAGUUCUCGAUUAUACCGACUGAUUGCUAUUGCAUGGUGUGCUCUGACAAGUCUGGGUGUGGUGCUAGUUUCAGUAUACUUGGGUGUAAGAGGGCGUUGUGCCAACCAAAGUAAUACACUACUAGUACUACAACCACAAUAUUUGCUACUAGGCUAAUUGCUGUCAAACUAAUGUACCAUUUCAAUUCAGUCAAUUCUGGAUGUGAACUGAUAUUCCUAUUUAAUAAUCCAUAAACAAAGAAUUAUGGCAUUUAGGAUUUGUUUAAAAUGUCCCCAUCUCAUACCUUCCCUUGUUUACUGCCUACAUACACCUCCCAUUCCACUGUCAUCCAUAAGCAUGACAGUGACAGUAAAUUACUGCAAUAGAAAAAGUUUGUUUACAGGACAUUUCAGAUCUGAAAUAAUGUCAUCACAUGACUCAUUUACAUAGGUUUAAUGCGUUAAACUUUCCUCGAGUAUGCUAUAUUACAGCGUAUUCCAAAUGAAUGUGUCUUACAGUAACCAUACAGUGGUUCACACAUACUGUAUAAGGACAUAUUUAACCUGUGAAGGGUUAGUAAGCACAAAGUACAUAGCACAGAUGGACACAAAAGACCACCUAACAUCAAUACAACGCCAAUAACCUUGGAACCCAAAACCAAUGUAUGUCACAAGAUUAUAUCGCCUAUUGCUCACUUCAAGUAUAAUAUAUCGCCCAUCUCAGUAGCCAGGGUACAACAAACUGUUUUCAAAUAUCAGAGUUAAAAAUGUUUGAACACAAAGGUAGAAAAAUAUGGCAAAUAU